rnacentral:rRNA from 1 species
AACCAGCACCUCAAGUGGUCAGGAUGAUUAUUGGGCCUAAAGCAUCCGUAGCCGGCUCUGUAAGUUUUCGGUUAAAUCUGUACGCUCAACGUACAGGCUGCCGGGAAUACUGUAGAGCUAGGGAGUGGGAGAGGUAGACGGUACUCGGUAGGAAGGGGUAAAAUCCUUUGAUCUAUUGAUGACCACCUGUGGCGAAGGCGGUCUACCAGAACACGUCCGACGGUGAGGGAUGAAAGCUGGGGGAGCAAACCGGAUUAGAUACCCGGGUAGUCCCAGCUGUAAACUAUGCAAACUCAGUGAUGCAUUGGCUUGUGGCCAAUGCAGUGCUGCAGGGAAGCCGUUAAGUUUGCCGCCUGGGAAGUACGUACGCAAGUAUGAAACUUAAAGGAAUUGGGCGGGGAGCACCACAAGGGGUGAAGCCUGCGGUUC